rnacentral:lncRNA from 1 species
UGAAUUUGGGAAUAGAAAGGAGGCUAGAGAAGGGCAAGAGGAAAAGCUUAAAAAUUGGAGGAAUCUAGAGAAUCAAGUCAUAAAAUUUGCACUGCUAUUAGGAUAAUCAGGUAAGGGGGAGAACUAUCUCAAUAAUAGAUAUAAGCAUGAGGGAUAUAAUUGAGGAGUUCUUAACCUUCAAUAGGGCUUAAGAUUAUUAUAUAAUUCUAUUAUAGAUGAAUGAAUU